UACGUAGGGUGCAAGCGUUGUCCGGAAUUAUUGGGCGUAAAGAGCUCGUAGGCGGUUUGUUGCGUCGGCUGUGAAAUCCCGAGGCUCAACCUCGGGUCUGCAGUCGAUACGAGCAAACUAGAGUGUUGCAGGGGAGACUGGAAUUCCUGGUGUAGCGGUGAAAUGCGCAGAUAUCAGGAGGAACACCGGUGGCGAAGGCGGGUCUCUGGGCAACAACUGACGCUGAGGCGCGAAAGCUAGGGGAGCAAACAGG
rnacentral:rRNA from 1 species